AAGUCGUAACAAGGUCUCCGUUGGUGAACCAGCGGAGGGAUCAUUAUAGAGUUUUCUAAACUCCCAAACCCAUGUGAACUUACCAUUGUUGCCUCGGCAGAGCCUACCCGGUACCUACCCUGGAACCAGCUACCCUGUAGCUACCCAGGAACGGGCUACCCUGUAACGUCCUGCCGGUGGACUUCUAAACUCUUGUUAUUUACAGUAAUCUGAGCGUCUUAUUUUAAUAAGUCAAAACUUUCAACAACGGAUCUCUUGGUUCUG
rnacentral:misc_RNA from 1 species